rnacentral:snoRNA from 1 species
GGCGUUGUUCCAUACGCACAUGACUCCCCCAUUGGGGGGCAAAUGAUUACCUGCAAGGGCCAACUGA